AACGAGCUGGGCGGAACUGACAAGUGAUCAUUGUUCUUUCAGAGAAUUCGAAAGGUUGACCGUGAAGUAAUUCUACUUAAAAACGAAAUGCCGGGACCAGGUUGCGACAAGUGCACAGACAAGUGCGAGGACUGCAAGUGUAGCGACCAGUGCAAGUGCUCCGACUGCGGAUGCGGAGGUCAGGCUGACAAAUCAUGCAACUGCAAAUCCUCGUGCAACUGUUGCAAGUAAAACGCUACUAAUUUGACCAACAUCGAGAAUGAAUGUCGCAACAAAAUUGUAGACCAAUGAAAUUUAAAAAUA